AUUGAACGCUGGCGGCAGGCCUAACACAUGCAAGUCGAACGAGUGGCGGACGGGUGAGUAAUGUCUGGGAAACUGCCCGAUGGAGGGGGAUAACUACUGGAAACGGUAGCUAAUACCGCAUACCAUCGGAUGUGCCCAGAUGGGAUUAGCUAGUAGGUGGGGUAACGGCUCACCUAGGCGACGAUCCCUAGCUGGUCUGAGAGGAUGACCAGCCACAAUGGAACGGAGUCACGGGCCAGACUACUACGGGAGGAAGCAGUGGGGAUGAUUGGACAAUGGGCGAAAGCCUGAGAAAGCCAUGCCGCGUGUAUGAAGAAGGCCGGCGGGUUGUAAAGUACUGUCAGCGAGGAGGCGUUACUCGCAGAAGAAGCAACGGCUAACUCCGUGCCAGCAGCCGCGGUAAUAC
rnacentral:rRNA from 1 species